rnacentral:rRNA from 1 species
AUACGUAGGUGGCGAGCGUUAUCCGGAAUUAUUGGGCGUAAAGAGCGCGCAGGUGGUUGAUUAAGUCUGGGGGAUGUGAAAGCCCACGGCUUAACCGUGGAGGGUCAUUGGAAACUGGUCGACUUGAGUGCAGAAGAGGGAAGUGGAAUUCCAUGUGUAGCGGUGAAAUGCGUAGAGAUAUGGAGGAACACCAGUGGCGAAGGCGGCUUCCUGGUCUGUAACUGACACUGAGGCGCGAAAGCGU